GACGAACGCUGGCGGCGUGCUUAACACAUGCAAGUCGAACGGAAAGGCCCUGCUUUUGUGGGGUGCUCGAGUGGCGAACGGGUGAGUAACACGUGAGUAACCUGCCCUUGACUUUGGGAUAACUUCAGGAAACUGGGGCUAAUACCGGAUACGAGCUCCUGCUGCAUGGUGGGGGUUGGAAAGUUUCGGCGGUUGGGGAUGGACUCGCGGCUUAUCAGCUUGUUGGUGGGGUAGUGGCUUACCAAGGCUUUGACGGGUAGCCGGCCUGAGAGGGUGACCGGCCACAUUGGGACUGAGAUACGGACCAGAGUCCUACGGGAGGCAGCAGUGGGGAAUAUUGCACAAUGGGCGGAAGCCUGAUGCAGCAACGCCGCGUGCGGGAUGACGGCCUUCGGGUUGUAAACCGCUUUCGCCUGUGACGAAGCGUGAGUGACGGUAAUGGGUAAAGAAGCACCGGCUAACUACGUG
rnacentral:rRNA from 1 species